AUGAACGCUGGCGGCGUGCCUAAUACAUGCAAGUCGAGCGAACAGACGAGGAGCUUGCUCCUCUGACGUUAGCGGCGGACGGGUGAGUAACACGUGGAUAACCUACCUAUAAGACUGGGAUAACUUCGGGAAACCGGAGCUAAUACCGGAUAAUAUAUUGAACCGCAUGGUUCAAUAGUGAAAGACGGUUUUGCUGUCACUUAUAGAUGGAUCCGCGCCGCAUUAGCUAGUUGGUAAGGUAACGGCUUACCAAGGCAACGAUGCGUAGCCGACCUGAGAGGGUGAUCGGCCACGCUGGAACUUAGACACGGUCCAGACUCCUACGGGAGGCAGCAGUAGGGAAUCUUCCGCAAUGGGCGAAAGCCUGACGGAGCAACGCCGCGUGGGUGAUGAAGGUCUUCGGAUCGUAAAACUCUGUUAUUAGGGAAGAACAAAUGUGUAAGUAACUAUGCACGUCUUGACGGUACCGAAUCAGAAAGCCACGGCUAACUACGUG
rnacentral:rRNA from 1 species